AUGUUUACUCUGUAUUCAUAAUGGAGUUAACAGCUUUCGCUAUGCAGUUUAGAUUCAUAAAGCGUGUUAAAUUCUUUUCAUUAAGUAAUAGAAGUUCUUUUCAAGGUGAAGCGAAUACGUAUGUAAUAUUCGAAUUCAUAUCGUUGUUAGCUCUGAUUGUUAUCGCUACUUAUCAAUUGCUUCUUUGCAUUUUCUUGGAUUUAUUUUUAUACGAAGCGCUAGAAGGUGCAUCUGAAGGCGAAAAGUUAUUUUGCUAUAUCGAUUUUUCGGUUUUAACCGCCUUUUUAUCGGGGCAAGGUAUUUCUGCU
rnacentral:lncRNA from 1 species